GCCAGACUCCUACGGGAGGCAGCAGUGGGGAAUAUUGGGCAAUGGGCGCAAGCCUGACCCAGCAACGCCGCGUGAAGGAAGAAGGCUUUCGGGUUGUAAACUUCUUUUAAGAGGGAAGAGUAGAAGACGGUACCUCUUGAAUAAGCCACGGCUAACUACGUGCCAGCAGCCGCGGUAAUACGUAGGUGGCAAGCGUUGUCCGGAUUUACUGGGUGUAAAGGGCGUGUAGCCGGGCCGGCAAGUCAGAUGUGAAAUCCUAAGGCUCAACCUUGGAACUGCAUUUGAAACUGUUGGUCUUGAGUAUCGGAGAGGCAGGCGGAAUUCCUAGUGUAGCGGUGAAAUGCGUAGAUAUUAGGAGGAACACCGGUGGCGAAGGCGGCCUGCUGGACGACAACUGACGGUGAGGCGCGAAAGCGUGGGGAGCAAACAGGAUUAGAUACCCCUGUAC
rnacentral:rRNA from 1 species